UACGUAGGGGGCUAGCGUUGUCCGGAAUCAUUGGGCGUAAAGCGCGCGUAGGCGGCCCGGUAAGUCCACUGUGAAAGUCAAAGGCUCAACCUUUGAAUGUCAGUGGAUACUGCCGGGCUAGAGUCCGGAAGAGGCGAGUGGAAUUCCUGGUGUAGCGGUGGAAUGCGCAGAUAUCAGGAGGAACACCAACGGCGAAGGCAGCUCGCUGGGACGGUACUGACGCUGAGGCGCGAAAGCGUGGGGAGCGAACGGG
rnacentral:rRNA from 1 species